rnacentral:lncRNA from 1 species
AACUUCAUCAAGUUCAAUUGUAUAGGUAUUAGUUUCUUUUUAAAAAAUUUUUUUCCUAAAAAGGCUGUCCUGUUGCUGACCAACACCUUUUGUUCUUUAGCGAGGUAGAAGUAGUACCCUUUAGUUUUCUUUGGAUAUCCUACGAACAAGCAUUUAUCAGACUUAGGUCUAAGCUUAUCUAUCUUUAAAUACUUGAUAUAAGCUAGACACCCUCAGAUCCUA